rnacentral:rRNA from 1 species
AUUGAACGCUGGCGGCAUGCUUUACACAUGCAAGUCGAACGGUAACAGGCCGCAAGGUGCUGACGAGUGGCGAACGGGUGAGUAAUGCAUCGGAACGUGCCCAGUCGUGGGGGAUAACGCAGCGAAAGCUGUGCUAAUACCGCAUACGAACUAUGGAUGAAAGCGGGGGACCGUAAGGCCUCGCGCGAUUGGAGCGGCCGAUGGCAGAUUAGGUAGUUGGUGGGGUAAAGGCUCACCAAGCCAACGAUCUGUAGCUGGUCUGAGAGGACGACCAGCAACACUGGGACUGAGACACGGCCCAGACUCGUACGGGAGGCAGCAGUGGGGAAUUUUGGACAAUGGGCGCAAGCCUGCUCCAGCAAUGCCGCGUGCAGGAAGAAGGCCUUCGGGUUGUAAACUGCUUUUGUACGGAACGAAAAGGUUUGGGUUAAUACCCUGGGCCGAUGACGGUACCGUAAGAAUAAGCACCGGCUAACUACGUGCCAGCCGCCGCCGCAG